AAUAACUUGGAAAUGGACGUGCUUUUGGAAAAACUGUUGAGGGUGAAAGGAAACAUUGCCUAAGUGGCCUUUACUCACUCAUACCAUCAACUAGUGUAUGAGAGACUUUCAGGAGGUUGCUUGUUGGCACCAGCUCCCCUGUUGCUGGGUAUCUGUGAUUCCAGAGACUGAGGUCAGCAAUGGGCAGGAAGCCAGCACACUGACCCGUCUCUGCCCGCCCUCACCCCACAGCCUAGGAGGGCAGGGGUGGGCAACGGCACUCUAGAAUGCUGUGGAAACUGCCGCCCCUCUGGUCUGCUCUUCUUCUGUCACUAAUAACUCUCAGAGGCAAAUCCUGAUAGAAGGAAUGACUGUUUAGUGAAAAAAAAAAAAAAUGUACAGCAAGAUGAGGAGUGAAAAGAGGGAAAUGGGGCGCAUGCUGGAGGGGCACCCCAUGCAUAUCCUGGAAUAUGGAUGUUGGGAUAGAAACAAGUUACUUCCUGUCUUCCAGCUGUUAAUGAGCUCCCAGCUUCUUCCUCCUUGGUGAACGGGAAGGGGCCAGAGGGCAUUCCCCACCCCUUGCCAGCUAAAGCAGAGUGGGACUGCCUGAAGCAGAGUUGGCCUUUCAGAAAAUUUGGAAACUGUAAGCCACAGCCUCAUAUUUUUCCUGUCCAUACCACUUUUAAUCCAUUUUUUAAAAAUCCCCAGUAAUGCUUUGGGGCCUUUUCCUGGAGGGGUAGGUGGUGGAGUUCAUGAGUCAUGCAGGGUCAUACCUGUGUGUCUGUGCGAGAAGGUGAGCAUCAGUGCACCAGACCCCCACCUCCGUCUGCAGCCGGCCCUCAGUCCUGUACACAAACCUCCCCAGAGCCUGUCAGACCCGAAUCCUUGGUUGUUUUCUCUUGUUUUGUUUUGUGAAUAACUAGUGAGUCACGCUGGAAUUCCUUUGCUCUCCCACCCUGAAGUGCACCUAACCAGACCCCUUCAUCAAAGUGAGCAAGAAAUCAGUAACUUCACUCCCAGUUAUCUGGAGCCCAAGGUGAAAGGGAUUUUUCUCAGUUUUGGUUAACACGGCCGAACUGCCCUUCCAAAUCUGGAUUCCACAAAGUUUGUAAAAACAAAACAAAACAGAAAAAUGGCCCAGGGCAGAAAAGAACUGUGGAGAGGAUUAGUGGCGGGCUGGGUAGUGGUCAUUUUUGUUUGAUUUUGAGUAUUUUAGGAAAGCAGAGA
rnacentral:lncRNA from 1 species